GCAUUAGUAGCUCAGUGUGAAAGAGCAUCGGUCUUGUAAGUCGAAUGUCAGAGGUUUAAGUCCUCUCUAAUGCC
rnacentral:tRNA from 1 species